UUAUCCAAAUCUCACCCUGACCGAUUGAAUAAAAUGGUUUAGUCUGUGACGUCAGCGGAAGACGGAAGAAAACAUUCAGAAGGCGCGCAUGCUUGAUUCAGAAAAAUUCUUGACAAAUCUGAACUGACUGGUGCCAUGUCGCGCAACAUGCAGGAGGACACACACCGCAGCCCAAGCUACACCGUGACAUGUGAGGACUACGUCCAUGUGGUGGAGUUCAGUCCUUUCAGCUCAGGAACUCCCCUCUCUCUUCUGGCAUAUGGUGGAAACCAGUUUGUGGUGGUUGCUUCCUGUAUUUUCCAGGAAGAGGAUAAGGAGAUCAAGGGAGUUGACUUCAACAUCCUUCAAGCGUUCCACCAUGAAGUGCGUGUUGAUGCUCUUGCCUGGAGUCCUGAGUCGCGACUGGACAGAGUACCUAACAUUAGGUUGUGCAGCGCCGCAGCUGACAGAAAGCUACGCCUGCUGACAUCUGAUCUCCAGGAGAGGCAUGAAGUCAAGGUAAUGGAGGGCCACACCAGCUACAUCAACCACCUGGUGUUUGAGCCAACAGAGGGGAAACAAAUUGCUUCAGUCAGCGACGAUCACACAUGCAGGGUCUGGGACCUGGAUGGAAAUGAAAACUGUAUUUUCAGACUGCGCUCUCCAGGCAUCAGUGUGUGCUGGCAUCCAGAGGAAGUGUUCAAGUUAUUAGUUGCGGAGAAGAAAGGUACGAUUCGCUUCUAUGACCUGGUCACCCAGCAGGCCAUUCUGUCCCUCGACUGCGGCCAGUCACCGCUCAUGUGGGCCGACUGGUGCCUCCACAACACCAUCAAAGUGGGAGCGGUGGCGGGCAACGAUUGGCUCAUCUGGGACAUAACUCGCUCCAGCUAUCCCCAAGAGAAGAGGCCGGCUCACAUCGAUACGGCACGGUUUUUCAAGUUUAGCAAGAACUUAAAAAACAAAACUUUCAGGACAGUUCCUGGGACUGUCCCUGGUACCUUGUCCAGGAGCUGGGUGCAACCUUUAGGCAGCGCUGAGCAGAACGCAUGUGACCAGGUCAACAAUGUUGUGGUCUCGAGCCAAUGAAAACAUCUUUGCCACCACAGGAUGUCCUGGCAAAAUCAGUAGUCAGUUACUCAUCCACCAUCUUGGCCACCCUCAGCCGGUGACCAUCGGAUCGACGGCGGUGGGCUCAGGCCUCAGCUGGCACCGUACACUUCCACUCUGUGUGAUGGGCGGCGACAGGAAACUUGUCUUUUGGCUAACGGAGAUGUAGACAUCUCUGUUAGCUUUUUCCACACUGAUCACUCGGUCUUUA